UUCCCUGCAUUGAGGAUUCGUUUAAAUCACGUGACCACGGAGCGUGAGUGAAGUGAAGCCUUUCACUCACCGAUCCUUGGCCUCCCGUCGGCACCGCGCUGCAGGGCCUUGUGUGCACACAUAGUCAGCGCGCUGGCUGACGCUGUGUGUGACGUCAGGUCCCAGUGCAUGCUGGGAAGAAGAUGCGGUCCGUCUCCUGCGGACUCCAUGUCAGCGCACUUCCAGGAAAGACUUAAAGAAGCGCUGGUAUUCCUUUCGGGAUCAAUUCCGGCGGGAACUUAACAUCAAGCAGCACAGUGAUGAUAAUGGCUCACUAACCAAAAAACCUUAUAUGUACACUAGACAACUACAACUUUUAAAACCAGUAAUGGAAUUAAGGAGCACUGUGGACAAUCUUUCUUCUGAUUCAAACCAAAGAAAUCUAGAGUCUGCAGGGGAUGUUUCCCAAAGAGAAUAAGGGGCCUCUCCAGCUCCACAAGAGGAAACAGUGAAUAUUCAAGAGAGAGCGUAAACAGAGGUUAUGGUGCUUACCGAAAAUGAGGCCAACAUAGAAACCACUCCAUUUUCAGAGGAACGUGUUUGCCGUUCAUCAGGCAGACAACGGCGAAGACCUGCAGUUCAUUCCGAUUUAGAUGUUUGAGGCCUAAUUGAUUCACAGGUUCUCGAAUAUCUAAAUCAGAAUCGGUCGGAUAAUAAAGAAGAGCACUCAAAAGUCUUGUGCCAUAUCUUAGUCGUGUGCAUGACACGUUGUGUCUCUGCAUUGGCCUUGUUGAUCUACCUUUUUGCAA